rfam:Schistosoma mansoni, Puerto Rico, WGS project CABG01000000 data, contig: 0387
GCCGGCGACCAUAACACGUUGAAAGCACCGGUUCUCGUCCGAUCACCGCAGUUAAGCAACGUUGGGCCCGGUCAGUACUUGCAUGGGUGACCGGCUGGGAAUACCGGGUGUCGCCGGCU